UUAUUAAGUACCAAAAACCAUUUUGACUGAGAAAUGACAUUUUCUGUUCAUAAUUGUAUUAAUUACAUAUCGGUCUAAUAAUUAACUUAUUAUUGUUUGUUAUAUUUUUUAUAUAUAGAGUAAUAAGAGAUAGUAUGAAAGAGUGUAAAUAUAUAAAAAUGUUAAAAUCGUGUUUAUUGUAAAUAAUGAAAUAAUAAGACUAUUACGUGUAACGUAAAAUCGAGACAUUUGACGUCCGAUAAAUUCGAUCCGAUCGAAUUAUAAAAUUUCAACUUGACGUUCAUCGAAUUGUUUCUUUGCCGUCGAGCACCUGAUUGAUUGACAGCUUAAAGAUUAACAUGUCUUUUUUCCCCUCUCUCGGGAAAUAUGGUAUAGAAAAAUUCAGACGACUCGCGUCAAACUCGGGACAUGAUAAACUAAUCGCGCGGCAGCAUCCGACUUCGAACCAUCUUCGUCCUCGUGGUGCUUACGUUACGAUACAUUCACGCUUAUCUCGCGAAUGCAUCCAACGAACUCUCCGUCCGGAUACAGGCACAUUAGCAUACCUAAUGGCCCUUUGUUUGGCUAACUUGAACUACGAAUGCUGCGAGUGAGACACGGUUCGUUAACUUUUGACCGAAUCAAAUUACAUGAAUUUAUUGUCCCAACGCCUUCGUGGUAUUUCAUCGUGGAUCUAGCCGCGCGCGGGAGUUUACAUUGCUCUUGGACGGAAGUUCGACGUUUCGGUGGAAUCAAUUCUGCCAGAAACUCGCUCGGUUUCAACGCACCUCGGAGAUAUUCUCGUUAGAGCACGGCGAUACCUUCGGAUAACUUCUACAUGGCGAAAUGCAAUUCCGCAACGUGUAUGUAUUUUACAACGAGUAAUAUUGUUUCUAAGUAAUGAUGUACAUCGACAUUUCCCGUUUUAUUCCUCGUGUAUAUUUGCAGCGAAAUUCCGGGUGACGCAUGUAGCCGAACACUGAUAAUAACGGUAGAAUGAAGUUUGCACUGUAAUAAGAUUUGUUUGAACAACUUGGUGCAUGAACAAAAUUCAAUAUAUCGAUAUGGUUUUAAUACACUCGCUCGCACCACAUCGAAUGCAUUAAUAUUUGUUUAUGGAAAAAUACAGCGAGCUAACCUAACCACAUCGAGACAAAUGAAGAAAUUAAUUAAGAAAUAAUUUUACGUUGCUUCGAAACUUGGCUUCUUAUCAAUGGCAAAUGUCAGUUUAAAGCUUAAACGAUUCAAAGUUUAUUCUAAUCUCGCAUAAUUCAAUGAUACUAAUGUUCACAUUAAGCAAACGUUAUUUCGAGGGCUAAGAAAAAAAAACUAUUUUUAUGUGAAUUUUUUUCGAAAAGUAUACAGACGAUUUAUUUUAAAUUUUAUAUAUGUAUAUAUAAUACGUAUUUUAUAAUUAAAAUUGUUUAGUAAAAAUAAUAAAAAUUAUAGUAAUUAUUAAGUUUAUGACUUCUAUAAAAUGUAAACACUCAGUAAUCAGAGACAAAAAAAAAUAAAAUUUUUAUGUGAAAAUGUUUGGUUAUUAUUAAAACUGUAAUAGGAUUAUAAAAAACAAAUUGUUUCUUCAAUAAUUUUAAAAUAUAUAAAAAUUGCAUUUACAAAAUCAUCAAAAACCUCGAACAAUUUUACGCGCGCUAGAAAUAAAACAAAAAAAUUAAUGGGAUUCCUAAAUUCUUUAAAUUAUUUAUUGUUGCUGUUUUAUUUAAAUUCCAAUAGUUCUAAACAAAACACUGGAUACCUGUAGAUAAAUUAAUAAUCUAAUUUUUUCAGAAUCAUGAACGUCUAUAUUUUACAGGAGCCGCAAAACAAUUUUUGAAACUACUAUAAUUUUCAUAAUUCUUACUUAUAAAAGUUUCUAUUAUUUAUAAAAAAGACAUGUACUAUUAUGUGUAUAAUAAAAAAAUACGAACAGUCUUUCUUGGUCCUGAUAACAUGAUCCUUUAAUUAACACGCCCCGACAUGUGGCCGCGUCAACAAAAGAAUUUCCCGCGUUGCGUCGCGCCGCGCGAAGCAAUCGCGAAGUUAGUCGAAUCACGUGAUCAAAUUUCCGGUCAGUUAAGUGCAGCGUCAUUCCGUGGCCGGCCGCGUUCGCUCCGCGCUUCCGCGUCUCCUUACCUGGCGUCCGGGCGAGUUCCGCGUAUCGAGGGAGUGGAGCCGGUGUGUUGUGGAAUUCGUCGACGAGUCGGAGUUCCAACGUGCCGAUCCGCUGCUGUCCAUCCGCGAUCAGCGUCCGUCGCCUCGCAUUUCCGAUCGCCUCGUCGAAUCCGGGCGAAUCUCGUCGAAGACACUCGUCCCGUCGCGACGUGUCGCGACGUGUGCCCGCUCAAGCGUGCUGGGACGCCGUUCCUGUUUAUACCACGGAGCAUUUACAAGGACCGCCGUCGAAUAACAUCGAGCGGAGCAUCGGGGGAAACGCGGGAGGACCGGCGUCUGUUGAUGUAGGUGACCGACCUCCCCCCUGCUUGUUUACGAUACUCGCCUCGUUGUCCGCCAUGGAGUGACGUCACGCCACUUUUCGCGUAUUUUCCACGGGACACACCGUGGUCGGUGAGUGAGUUUACGGACGUUUCGUUGCCGGUGUGAUGUGACACGAUGUUGAAUCGCGGUCGAACGAUCGGUGCCUUCGUCGCUGUUUCGUAUCCGCACGACGAAUAUUCGAUCGCGUACGUCCGUCGAAAAAUUUCCUCGCACAAGUGUGUAUGUGCGCGUGUGCGCGCGCGCGCGUCUCGUUCUCGUCUCGCGCUACACUGUGAAUGUGGUUACUUAUCGGGAGUAUCGAUCGCGAUAGACAUGGCCGAUGAUAUAUCCAUCAGUGGCGGAUUACACAUCAGUGGGCAUUUUGAUGGCUCCAACAAGUGCAAAUUGACUCGACGGGGGGUUCUCCUUCGCGAUAUCGAGACUCCGGGACAGAAGUGUAUGUGUGUGUGUGUGUGAAAAGAUCUGCUUUCGUUGUGUCCGGGAACAGCAAAACAGACAUGAUUUCUCGUAGUUUUCGGGACGAGCGAUACGACGGUGUUGGUCAAGGUUAUGUUGCACGACGAAAGCACGUAAAAAAGAAUCGAGUUCAAAGCGUUCCCCGUUGUGCGGCGUGAUUUCGACCGGCACCGUCGUGAAAGCUACGAAGAAAUUAUGUUUGUUUUGCUUUUCCCGAGUGCAGAGAGCACAGGUCUUCCUUCGCAACCUCUCUCUCCCUUCGUCGACGAACGAUACGGAGUGACUUUCGCACUGUUGUCGCGUCACCUUCGUGUCAAUGUCACGCAUUUUUCGACGAGUUCCGCAGGGUUAUUUCUCUUUUCGCGAAUUUGUCGGAUUAAAUCUUGAAAUAUAUAUUCGUCAGUAUUUACACACGAUAUUUAUAUAUGUAAUAAAUUGACAAUGAUCGCGAUUAUUUUCCGUACUCGCAGUUGCCUCGCCGAUCGGAAGUAAAAUUUACGUUAUUGCUCUCGCUUAGUCAAUUCGCUAUGGUUCCUCGUAGUUACGUAAACAACAUAAUCGCUUUGUGAGAUUACGCGGAUGACGUAAUCGAGGAUCAUUUUCUGCCGGCUGCGGUCACCGUUUACAUCUGCACUCCGUAAAUCGGAACCGCAGUUACGUCGUAUAGCUCUCGUUUAAUUCGCUGUAGCCGUGUACACGUUGCAAUUAAUACAAUUGCUUUUUAUGAGAUUACGUCCACGAUCUAAUUAAACUGUACGCGAUAGUGAUUAACGGCGAUUACGAUUGUUCCUCGCGUUGAUCGCGACAUCACCGCAUUUGCAGGUUAUUUUGCAAAAAGUAACAUUUUAUGGUUAAUCCUAUGGCCGUGAUCGAAUUGCGAUUUCAAGUUUUACGAAAGAGUAAAUAAUUCAUGAGAACACGAAUACCGCAGGGAAUAUCGGGGAGAGAAAGAGAGAGGGAGAGAGAGAGAGAGUAUCGAGUGAUCAUCAUGUUGCGCAUAGAUGUGCGGCCACUAGUGAAUUUUGACCCCCUGAACCGUAAUUGGAUUUGGAGAUCCCUAUCGUGGUCCUAGAUGCGCCAGCCGCUGCACCUAAUGGAAAGUCCGCCGCUGGUGGGUGUUGAUUAGCGCGAAUGUACUUUUCGGUGGCCCGGUGACAGAUAUCGACUGCGUUCCGUUUGGACUCUCUCUGUCGCGUCCGUCGGAAGAACUCGUUUACUAAUAUGCGCCUGUCGUGUUAUUUCGCGAGUACGUUGAUUGAGUGCGUCGCAAGUGCAUCGAAGAGCAUCGAGGGACAUCGAGGGACCGUAAUGGACCAUUGAGACAGGGGACUGCUGCUCGUCUACGAAGACUGUGGGCAGGAUCUUUACAUUCUCGAAUAAUUUGGCUGCUGGCCGGAAUUCAUGGGACCGGGUUCCACUUCAGCCAACGGCCAUUUCGGCACCGUUUGACCGUCGCUGUCGCCAGUCAGCACCGACCAACGCAGUUCGCAUCAACUCCGCUGUUGCACAUCGUAUUGCGCGGUCGGCUCGGGAGCGGAGCGGCAACGAAAAACGACGCGAGGUAAAAGGAAACGGAUCGAGGGAGAUUAAAAGAGCGGGAAAAUGCUUUAUUGCUUGCUCAACUCACCUUCCUCGGUUAAAUGAGCGCCGCCCACCUUCGCAUUGCCGACUGUAAAAGGAAGCGCCGAGAGGAGUUGCAGAAAGCGUACGAUUUCCAGGGCACCCUAUGGGUAAGUGUCCAUACAAGUGUGUAUUUUCUCGCGUGGCGCUCGCGCUUGAAGGCGCCGGCGAUAACCGUCUGCGGUUCUUAUCGCACUUCCUCGAUCUGCGCCCCGUGCGACGUAAAAUAUCCCACCACGGGCACCACGGUCCGCGGCACGCACGCGGAAUCGUCGAACCGCUCGUGCCGAUUGUAAAUCACACGGCGAACGAUCGGCGCUCGGGUCGCUGUGGGUAGAUCGAUUCGGGCCCGAUAAAAGAUUGAUCGCACGCGGAACUAUAAUAAGUGAGCGCGGUUCACUCCGAGGGUGGGUGAGAUGAGGCUAUACGUGUGGGCAGGCCGUGCCACGUGCGAGAAAAAUUGCGGUCGGACGUAAUCGAGGAUACGCGCGUACACACGAUGCUCUUUAAACAGAAAAGUGCGGUGCAAGGUAAUAACAGGAUUGCUAUCGCGUUGGCGCGCGUCUUGGCGCAAAACGAAACCUUAUCUGCGCGCGCGCGCGCGUUUCUCGCGCCUCUGCGAAACGUGUGCGUGACAUAGGUGUAGAUAAAUAAUUAUAUAUUGUGUUCGGCGAUGCGUUCCGCGUCGUUCCGCUUACGCUUCUCUCUCGCGGUGCGCUUCUCGAAAGAGACGACCGACGGAAGAAACUAUAGACAGAAGAUUUAUACGAUGUAUUACUUAUAAAACGCGUUAUUGUUUGCCGCGCGUGAUCGAAUCCAGUGUCCAAUUAUAUAUCGCGAGGAACAAGUACCGAUUAUUUCGAGACGGGCGCGCGGCGCUACAUUGAAAGGCGCUUCUUUAACGAAGACGUAUAUUCCCCCAUUCAAUCCUAAUGCCGCGCGCGAGCGUUAGGCCAGAUUCUCGCCCCGAUACCGGAAGUAACUAAAUCAAAAGCGUAGAAUCUCGAGCGAAGUAAUUUACUGCCGCCGGCUGCCGUUUUUUUUUUUCUGGUUUCCUCGAGCCCCGCGAACAAUUAGACCCUUUAUGAGAGAGAGACGCGAAGAAGGGCACCGGGACGCCGACGCAAAGAAGGCCGACGCGCCUCUUUCAUAUCCCGCGUCAUCGGCGGGAGACGAAUGGAGAGAAAGUUGUUUAAAGUGACGCUCGCCACGUGUUCCAAGUGCCGUGGGUAAGGACCGCGCGAAGCGACGUUGGAAGCCGCGGUGAUCGAAGCCGCGCGCGCAUCAUCCGAAUAGAGUAAGAGAAAUGACGACGGGUCGGUCAUAAAAUUUUCUUCAUCUUUUGGGGGGGAGGCAAAAUCCAUUUAGAAACAACAGUGUCGCGGCGUUAACAAACUGCCAUCCGUAGGAAGUCCAUUACAUAUUCUCUGAAGAGUUAAGCGCCCUUUUAACCACGUCGCCUUAGGUAUUUAUGAUUUGUUACUUGUUGUCGCACUCGGCCGGCGGUCCAUUAUGUAUAUCUGGUCUGUUUGAAAUCCGUACAUCGGGACAGGACCGAAGAUUUGUAGCGCGUAAAUCAGACGCGGCGGGACGCGUGCAGCCGGGCUCCACCCGUUUACCGAUGCGUUUUCCUGUUUUACUCCGUAUUAAUUUACAUCGAAAUUUUAUCUCAAUAUUUUCUAAGUGCUCACCGGCGACGGACCGAGCCGGCGUUCAUUUCAAAGAACCACUAUACUGUCUCACUGUACUGGGAUAGGUAUAUAUUUGUGCACGACAGUAGGGGAAAACGUACAAAAGAGAGUGUACUCUCUGAAAAUCCGUUUCAGCAAAUGACGAAGACCGCCUCUCUGUCUCCUCUCCUUUCGCCGUUUCAGCCUCCCUCGCCUCCUCGAAACAUCUACGUCCCAUCUUUAACACUACUCGAGUUUCAGAGAAAACGUGCACGCCCGGCUUGCGUUUCCACGGCGACGUUCACAGCGGAAGAGACCGGCGUGGCUCGGCGCGGGCCGGUAUAGGAGGUUGAUACCGAACGUGUAUACUCGCCACCGUGAGCAGCGGGGUCUCCCGAUUAAUGGACUACGCGUUCCAGACGCUUGUAGCGGACGCGUGUAGACAUGGCGUGGGUACACACCACCGUUCGACCAUCGGACAAACGCUAUAAAUUGGUAACCAGUUCGUAGAGACCGCGAUGUCGCGUCGCGUUGCGUCUCGGCGUCCUGGGUAGCGGAGGAAACUUGGUAUCGGCGUGUGUCGUCUCGGCCCGUCGUCGUCGUCUCGACGCGCGCGCUGGUGCGCCAGGUGCGCGCUCCCGUUAUUAUCGUAUGGAGAUAGGUAGGGUGCAUAAGCGAUUAGGAGACAAUGGACUGUUCGCGACCGCCGUGCUCGUCGUCGCGACCAGACGCGGCGCGUUCCCGCGAAAAUAUUAUAUUACGUUUGGAUGAUAUGUGUUCCCGAGAAGGGAAGGAAGGCAGAGACAGCUCAAGCCGGUUACAUCAACUCACCGACCGGCGCGGCGAUCGAUCGAUCCUCCUCCCGAUACUGUCGUGCUCGCUCUGCAAAAGCGCCGCAAUUUAUUUCCUUUAUGUCGCCGUUCGACGCGAGGGCUGUGUGUAGGUAUUUGAUUGUACGCCGUGGAAACGGCUAUUGGCGGAAACGUUUCUGGAAAUUGCACACUUUCUUUAUACUGGCAUAGGCAAUUGUUGUACUUUUUAUCAGAACCGCGCGAACAGAGAGUAUUGCAUACUAUUAUUUUAUUUACGGUCAAUCCUCUCCGAUGCUGAAGAGACAGAGUAUUAUCUUCGAGCAACUUUUAUCCUCCGUCCAGCAAUGAUCAAGAUCAAGAAAGUUAAACGGAGAGGAUAUUUUUACAAAUAAACGAAAUAAAAUUUGAUAAAAUACAUUUUCCCGGUUUGUGCUUCUUGAUUUCUCGGCGAACUUUUGUGGUUAAGAGAGAAAAAUGAAAGACGAAGUCGGAAAAGUUUCUGUAAUAUCCCCAGCUUGAGACCCCGAUGUCGGGCCAGACAUUAUUUCUCUCAGGAUGAAGCGCGGUUUUCGGAUUUUCCGUGGAAAAUUAGCGCGCCCCUAAUCUCCCGAUUGCGGAAGGAACGAAAGGAGCUAAUCGGCCGCCAAGUGGAUUAUAAAUUUUGCUGGCGGAGACGCUGCGCCGGCGAAACGAAGUAGGAAGAUGCAUCUGGCAUCUCGCCGAGAAAGCCUCCGGUGUGAGGCAGCUUCGGUUGUCGGGGUCGCGCGGGCAGAGGCAAUCCUUUCUCAUUAUUAGUCUUCUUAUCUGACGGAGGAGGGAAGCGAUAGGGAAGACCGUCGUGGUUUCAUCCGCCCGACAUCGUCGGGUUUCUCUCCGCGUAAUUAAAAGUAAUGAUUCAAUGACGAAAGCAUCGCGCGUGAUCGUCCCGACGACGACGUGAAAACCACACGUCGUUCUUCAGGCCGUGAGACUCUUCGUUCGUCGGCCACCGAUGUCGUGUCGGUAGUCCCGGCCGACUUCAACUACCCCCUCCUGCAAACUGGUUUCGGACGUAAUUGGAUGCGACUCCGGCCUACGUUAAAGUCCGAGCAGCACGAUGCCGAGCGUCCGUCGUUGGGCUUCGCCGCCAUGAACGAGAAAGCCCGUUGUCGCCGCUAAAUUUCUUCUUGCCGACCAUUUAAACCGGGUAUCCGGCCGAUGCACGGUAGGAACGUGCGAUAAGUUUGCGCACUUAACGGGUCCUACGAGCUGAUCUUGGAAUUUCGUCGAUUCGCUCGAUUGGCCUCGUGCCGCGAGCGUUUUAUAAUUUGAUAAACCCGCAUUUUUACAGGAUAUUAUGAAGUCCAUUUGAACUGAAAUUUAUGUGAGAUAAACGUCGAUUUCAAAAUAGCGUCGAUUACAAUGCUGCCUGUUGGGAAGGCAAUUGUAGUUACGUUUGAAACAAAUAUAGGGUUGUAAUUGUGGUGAAAAAAGGGCAUGGUACCGUUACACACGCCCGAAACUACGCCUAGUGUGUUUCCGUCCGAUUGCUCUGCUAAUUGUUGGGGAGCCGACAGUUAGUAUUUACCUUAAAGCGGAUAGGUCCAAUUACGGAAUACGCGCGCGCUUUACCCUCCAGCUUCCGCCGCAUCGGAAUUGUGCUCUAUACGCUCUCGCGACGGAUGAGCGGCGUUCGGUAUCUCGUACAACCGCAUCAAUCUCUCGCCAGGUUUUUUACACUUUUCGCUUAACCAUAGUUUUAGAAGGGAUUUCUAGCAAUUGGAUGUGGCAGGAAGCCGCGCUCCGACGGCGUCUCUCCCGCCUAGUUUCCACCGAAAGCUCCGACUCCGGAGUAACAAACCCCACGCGAAACUUUCCCCUUCCCCGGGGCCAACACUCUGGCCGGCUGGUCGAGGGCGAAAAGGUCGAAGCCUGCCUUCGCCUUGCCUCCAACCCCGCGCAUCUCUCCUCCACCUUCAUCUCGCCCUUCUCUGGUGGGGUUAGCGCGGGAGCCGCGUAAUGAGCUUCCCAGGCCGGUUGUAACGAGCAAAAACUUAUCGUCACUCUCCCUUCUGAUUUACUCGACCUGCCACGUCGUUAGUUGUACUGUGCCCCUCCCGCUCUACCGCGUCCGCCCCUAAAAAAAAGGGCCCGGUGCUCUCGCUGCAUCACUACGAGUACGCGCGCGUUAUUUUUUGGAAAAAAUUAUAACUUCGCAGCUCGUUUCUCGAACGGGAUUCACGACUGGCAAUUACGGCUUGCGCCGUUUCAUGGGUGUGCGUCAACUGUCUAUGAUUUACUAUUUACAUUAAUAUCGUGUAUAUCAUGAAACAAGAUCGUUAUAAUGAGUAUAAGUUCGACUGGAUGAUGACAGCUCGUUUUAGACAUGAUCACAAGAAAAGAGAGCCAUUAGGCGAGAUUUCAUUAUUAAUGAGCUUUAAAGAUACUAGUAGCUAAAUUAUAAUUGAAUUUGGGAAAUCUUAUCUUUCCCUAUAUCAAAUCUCCAAACUAUAUUUUAUCUGUACUAUUUAAUUAUUAUAAUUAAUUUUAUCUUUUUCUUUGUCUCUGUCUUUCGUACUUGCUAAAAUCAGACUUAUUAUUCUGAAUAAAUAUUAAUAUUUAUUUUAAUGUUUUAAAAAUUUAUGUGAAAUUGAAUAAUUUAUUUUUACAUUUUAGAAGGAAAAGAUAUGAUUGAGAUAUAAGUAAAUACUGAGUGUGCGUUGUGUUACACACAGUUGGUCCAUUUCCGUUAUAUAUAUAUUUGUCUCUGCGUCCUGAGAAGCUCCCGUAAGCCUUCUUCUAAAAAAGACUUUAACAACGAAUCCUUCGAAAAUCCGAGGGGAAAAAGAGUAGAAGCUAUACUGUUACAAAAAUCUCAAAGUUUUGUAUCUUUAGAUAACAAAAUUUAUGUGAUUUAGGUGAUAUCUGAUAAUGUAAUUAAAAAAAAUGUUAAUAAAAAAUACAGAAUUAAUCGUAAAUAACAAAGAGAUAAGUUAUUCGCUAAUUAUUGAACGAUAUAUUGUUUACAUAUUUUAUAUGAAAGUUUUUAGAUUAUUCAACAAGUCUAACGUUAUAAAAUUUGACGUUGAGAAUUUUUCUCACGCAGACAACUACGGAAAUUCCUUUUAAGAACUUAUAGUCGGCUACAUAAUUAAUUUUUUUCGUAAAAUUUUUUUUUAUUUUUGUGCCGUUACACGCUUGGGACGACUUUGAAUAAAAGCGCGGCCAAUAAAAUGCAGAUUGUCGACGAGAUAUAUUGAGAGCUGACACUUGAUAGAUUGCUUGGCGAUCAGUGUCGGAUUAAAUAAGAUGAGAAAGCACAUUCGUGCCUAUAAUGGUAACGGUUUCGCAAUCCUCCACGGCGAAUAGAGCCCGGGUCGCUUCCUGGAAAAGUUAGGAAUUUGAUUAGACGCUCGCGGCGCUAAUCGAUAGCCUUAAUUAUAACUGUCGAUUGCUCGCUGGCGAAAGAAAUCGAUAGCGCGUUGGCACUCAGGGCGACUUACAGGCCAUUGCCCGGACUUGUCGGCUAUGAAUGUCGCGAUUCGUACGUUGUUUGAGCCGUUUAUCUUAAUGAGGGUUAUUUGAUCCCUCGUGUCGUCGGCGACGCAGGAACUCGUAACGCAAUAAAGCAAAAAGCUAAUGGUCCUCGUUACUUCAUUGUUAGGUGAUAAAGAUCGACGUAACGUCGAUCGACGCUCUCGUUUGCUUUCGUUCGUCGAAAUAGACGUCUAUCACUGGGAUAUGUCUCUUGUCGGCGUCGUUCGUUAGCCUAAUUGCGGACAUCGAGCGCAAUUUGCCGCGUUCGAUUCGUCAUCGUCGUCGGAGCGCAUUCCUAUAAAUUAUCCCUGCCGCUCCCAUUUCUCGGAAAGAUGAAUUGCAUCGAAUCGGUAUCGUCUUAACGUACGGAACAAAUACAUUUCACGCGAUAGCGUUUGAAACAAUUUCAAUGAAAGAGCUCCGACCUUAUCAGCUACCUGCACUCCAUUAGGUCUGAGCUAUUCAUAUCCGAGACUGGCAUUUCUCAUCAGCGACCAGACGUUUGUGGAUCGUUAACUUUUAUGUCGUUGUUCUACUUUCUUCUGCAUGCAGGACGGCCUACUUGCUACUGUAAAAGUACCAUUCCGCGGUCGUGAUUACGAUAUCGAAUUGCUUCUUGCACGUUCUCGCGUUCUAUUUGACACUGGUGAAAUUGUACACUCUUCUACAAACACCGCUCUUGUCAUAUGAUUAUACGAACGCUCCAUGAUAAAGUCGGUGACAUUUUGAUACGUUUAUUUUAAACUUUUGAUAAUAGUCUCGAUUUGAUUUUUAGAAUAUAAUUAUAUUUUAUUUAACAUGUGCCCUGAUUAAUAAGUGCAUAAGUAAAAAAUUAUGCAAAUCUUGUUGCAUAUCUCGCCAUUAAUCAUUUGAUUCAAUUUCUUACAGAUAUAUUAUUUUUUGAAAUUAAGAUUCUAGUGAAAAUAGUAGAGAAACAAAUUUUUUAUUAUUUAUUAAUAUGUAAUUUUCGAUUUUUUAAAUAUGUUAAAAAGUAAAGUGCUCUCUCAAGCUUGCCUGACUAUUUUUCAUCGCAAACCGAGUAUCCAUUCGGACGUGCCGUUUCUCUAAUAACUACCCGCUACAAGGGGUCGUAAUAAUUAUCUUACAAUUUUCGCCGCAUUAGAGCAGGCUCUAACACUCAAACGAUCCAAAUCUUCCGGUCUUGCAAGGGCAGCGAGUUCAAAACUAAUUGACCGUGGCGGGGAACUCAUUAAAAGUGCACUCCGGAACUCGAGACGCCGGUGGUUCGUAACGAGUGUUGUAAUUCGAGCUGGAUCCUUCCGUACCGCGUAAACGGUAGUCUUAUGCCACUAUCUCAGCAGCUGCGCUGAUCCCCCUUUGCUUUUGGUUUACGAACCCCAGCCGUGCCCUAUUUUUGAGCCGAUCCUUAUUGAUAAAGAAACGUUAUGCAGGAUGUAUUAUAAUUGCAUAUCAAUGCAGGAAAAUUAGGACAGCUACAGGUUUCAUAAUUAUUAAGCACUAGCAAAAUUUGAAUAUUAUUGCUUUGUAAUUAUUUUUAGAUAAAGAUACAAAUAUAUAAGAAUAUAAUAGGCAAAGAUAUAGUACAAGAAUACAAACAUUUUCGAAUAAAAUCCGUUUGUAUCAAUUGCAGACGCGAAUCAAUUAUAGAAUUUGUCACAAAUAUGACUGAUUUAUCGGAGUCGCUCGAGUAUUGAUAUGACGAAUUGUUUUUCGUUACACAUCGAACGGCAGCCUCGUCGAAAAAGAUACAAAUAAAAAUACACAAACGGUAUAAUAUAAAGAUAAGAUCAUUCUCGAAUCGAACUCAUUUGAAUCAGUUGCAGACGUGAAUCAAUUAUGGAAUUUGUCGCGAAUAUAAUUGAUUUAUCGGAACCACUCGAGUUUUAUUGGUGCGGCAGGAUGUAUUUCGUUAUAUAUCAAGCGGCAAUGUGCUUCGCCGAAGAGGAAAAGGAAAUAAUCGGCUUAGCCGAGCGACUUCGUUAGAUUGACAAAAGUUUGUCCCUGGCCGAAUUCCCAUUCCGAGUUUUUUCUCGAUAGGAUCGCAGUGAAGCUGACGAUGCGGAGAUAAGAGAGAUUGGAGAAAAUAUAGGAAAUCUGAGAGACAGACAGACAGAGAGAGAGAGAAAGAGAGAGAGAGGAUUUCUGCAAAGAGAAAGUUACUACAAAGAGGAAAACGUUCCGAUAGGCGUAUCGAACGUGCAGCUGUCUUCACGAAGACGAUUUCUAUGGGAUCUCCGAUACCUAAUACUAUCUCUUCAAGUUAUACAACUAGCGCAUAGUUCUCGUGUCAACGUUCAGCCGCACAAACGCGUUCGUUGUGAAAGAUGAUAUUAGGUAAUCAAUUAUCUGUUGACGAAAGAGCGAGAGAACGGACGAUUGAUGAAAUGAAAAGUAUACAAUUGUGUUUACUGUAUCCACUUACAUUGCAUAUUUUAGAGCCUUAUUUUAUAUUCUUUAAAUAAUAUUUGGAGAAUUUAUAUUAAGUUGAUCUAAUAAAUUAAAUAUUUUCCGAAUAAAUAUUUUUUGUUAAUAAGAGAGAAUAUUUUUUAUUUUUUCAUUAUUGAACAAUAUAUGAAAUUGUAAUGUUUUGAUUUAUAAGAUAUUGGGUUUCUUCGCCGAAUGAUAGGUCCGCUCGAAUUAAUUUAGAUACAAACGCGGAAAUAAAUCGCGCAUGAGCGUAAAGUGCGAGAACACCAACUUGCAAUAUUGGAAGUCACAGGUGUUCGGCUUUCUCUAUCCGGAAACUAUUGUUUUCUCAUAACCCGUUCAUAACGGCUGGCGCCUCGUAUGUUUCUUUAGGAUCACACCACACGGAAUUUCAAACGCUGCCGGCAUCGAAGCGCUCGCGUUUCAUUCGAAUUCGACCUAAGACAACAAACAGACGGUUUCCUGCUGUGUAAAGCGUACAACUAUUUUUUUUUCUAUGCAUAACUUCGCUGGACCACCGUGUAGUGAUGUAACAUUUGAUGUCACAUUGCAUAAAUAUCAAACCGCAUUGAUAGCAAUGAAUUAUACAUUUGUUUGCAAUUUAGAAAAGUUUCAAUCUUCGUGAUCAGAAAAAAUUUCAUUAACAUGUCAUUUGAAAAAUUAUACAGUCAGAUAUUUCUCAACAUUGUCAACAAAAACGGUAAUACAUAUGGUAAUGCAUAAAAUAAAAAGCUAAAAAUAAAAGCUAAAAAUUAGCUUGAUUCAGAUUUGAAAAUUUUGUUAGCCCGUCAAAAUUAAAACGCUCAAGCUAUAAAUUACUACACAUUGAAACUUUUUGUAGCACAUUGUCCUUUAUGAUUAUUUUUAUACUUUAACAAAAAUAUUUUCAGAUUCAUAUUCACAAUUACAUGAGACACUUUAGCAAAAUUAUUCUUUUUAGUACAUAUAUCUCAUCAUUUUAAUAACGAAAGAUAUAAUUUGUGAAACUUAAAGAUAAUCUGGAUAUCUUCGGGUCUUCAGAUCGUUCUUCAUAAUUGUAUCUUAGCCUCGCUAUCUGUAAUAUUUGAAUAACAAAUUUCUCAUACGUCAAAGGCAACAGUUGUUUGUGAAGAUGACCGGAAGAAAUCGACAUCCGCGUCUUGAACAGAGAUUAGAGCUGCAUACACAUCAAUCAACUUCGUCUCUGGGGAGGGAGGGCCACUUCUCUAUCUACGUAAACAGUGGUUUGCCACGGGGAUCACGUUUCCACAGUCGGGACCACACCCGACAGCAUGUUAGUAUUUGCACGCGGCGUUAGUUGCCUCUGGGCUGCAUGUGGGGUACGCACGUGCGUGUCCGUACCGUCCUAUCCGGAGCUUCCUGAUGUGAUAAUGUACGAGAUAACGCGACCGAUGCAUUCGGAAUACGUAAGAGCAAAACCGUACGUAUACCUAGCAUCUUCGAUCUUUGCUUGAGUUUUAGCUUCGUUGCAAUAUAUCGCCGGACACAUUCGUGGAAUACAAACAUUAAUAGACUAAAGAAAGUUCUGUAUUUUAAAUUUAUCGUGAAAUGUGCAAAUAUCAUCUUGUGCUAUUUAAUUUUAAAUCAAAAAUAUUUUGAAAGCAUGAAUAUAAUUUGAAAAUUAUUCUAAAGUUGUUAUUAUUCAUAUUUAGACACAUCUUUCCACUUUCUACUUUCUACUACUUUAGUUUUAUAUCGAAAAAAGUUAAA